rnacentral:rRNA from 1 species
GGUAGUCCACGCCGUAAACGAUGUCGAUUUGGAGGUUGUGCCCUUGAGGCGUGGCUUCCGGAGCUAACGCGUUAAAUCGACCGCCUGGGGAGUACGGCCGCAAGGUUAAAACUCAAAUGAAUUGACGGGGGCCCGCACAAGCGGUGGAGCAUGUGGUUUAAUUCGAUGCAACGCGAAGAACCUUACCUGGUCUUGACAUCCACAGAACUUUCCAGAGAUGGAUUGGUGCCUUCGGGAACUGUGAGACAGGUGCUGCAUGGCUGUCGUCAGCUCGUGUUGUGAAAUGUUGGGUUAAGUCCCGCAACGAGCGCAACCCUUAUCCUUUGUUGCCAGCGGUUAGGCCGGGAACUCAAAGGAGACUGCCAGUGAUAAACUGGAGGAAGGUGGGGAUGACGUCAAGUCAUCAUGGCCCUUACGACCAGGGCUACACACGUGCUACAAUGGCGCAUACAAAGAGAAGCGACCUCGCGAGAGCAAGCGGACCUCAUAAAGUGCGUCGUAGUCCGGAUUGGAGUCUGCAACUCGACUCCAUGAAGUCGGAAUCGCUAGUAAUCGUAGAUCAGAAUGCUACGGUGAAUACGUUCCCGGGCCUUGUACACACCGCCCGUCACACCAUGGGAGUGGGUUGCAAAAGAAGUAGGUAGCUUAACCUUCGGGAGGGCGCUUACCACUUUGUGAUUCAUGACUGGGGUGAAGUCGUAACAAGGUAACC